UUCGUGUCGUGAGAUGUUGGGUUAAGUCCCGUAACGAGCGCAACCCUUGUCCUUAGUUACCAGCACGUUAUGGUGGGCACUCUAAGGAGACUGCCGGUGACAAACCGGAGGAAGGUGGGGAUGACGUCAAGUCAUCAUGGCCCUUACGGCCUGGGCUACACACGUGCUACAAUGGUCGGUACAAAGGGUUGCCAAGCCGCGAGGUGGAGCUAAUCCCAUAAAACCGAUCGUAGUCCGGAUCGCAGUCUGCAACUCGACUGCGUGAAGUCGGAAUCGCUAGUAAUCGUGAAUCAGAAUGUCACGGUGAAUACGUUCCCGGGCCUU
rnacentral:rRNA from 1 species